ACCAAGGAAACACAGGAAAUCAGAGAGGAGGUUUGGCAGUUCUAACCACCAGCGGUAAGAGGACAAGGCAGCACUCUAUACAGUUGGAGGCAUACAAGGGUGGGCAGGCUGUGACUCCUCCUGGUCCUCGUCUCUCUGGUAAUUCCACAGACCUAGAAAUUUCCAAUAGUCACCAGGUCCUCCGCACUGAAACAACUGAUUGAAUAGAACAAAGAGGAGUAUGGGACCCAUCUGUGUGGGGCUGCUCAGCCCAACCCAGGAGAAAAUCAAAUGUUUUCAUACAGAGAUCUCCAGUCCUCCAAGACUAUCCUUUUUGGGAAUUCUAUACUAAGAAGAAUGGAAAGAACAUUCUGCAGUGGACAGGCAGACAACAGGAUGGUGUGCUGUCUUCUCAGAGCCAAGAAAAAAGUCACUAACAUUGGACAGGCUUCUGAAGUUCAGGAUCCACUGGUGUUAGUGCCGACAUGCACAAUCAACAUUGCUUUGCGGGAUACCUAACCGAUCAUAGAUGACUUCAGGAAACUCAGAGUGCAGAAGAACAACGUCCAAGUGAUCUUGGAGCUCCUUGUGUCGUGAACAAAGGAAGACAGAAGAUCCUGGAAGUGAACCACUGGCUAGAAUGCCCUCAGGAGUAUGAAAAGGAAGUCUCUAGCCCUAGAAACUUCAGACUGGGGUGAAAUUUCUGACUGGCAUACUGAGACAACAGACAGGAGCAGAUCAGAAGCAGCCACAGUAGGAAAGAGGCAAAUUGGAUGAGGGAAAAGGUGAAGACAAGAAUUUCUGAAUGCUCUUAACGCUAGGUUGAUGUGAAGGAGCUAUUCUUGCAGUGACCAUUUGCCUGAAUUGUGUGAGGUCCCAGGUGUGCCCUCCAUGCUAAGAGUGAUGUGUCUGAUGUUGUCAAAACAGCUUGUGGAUUUUGGAUAAAUGGAACUCCUGAACAGAUCUGGCCUUGAAAGAUGAGCAAACCUUGCACUUACUGAGGAUGUGGGUAUCUCCCAAACAAAGGAGCACAAAGGAUGCCCAACACUUACUGAGAUAGCCUCCUAGCCAGAAAAAUACCUCUUAAAACCGAGGGAUGCUGAAAUAGAUCAGAAUAAUCAAAGGCGGAAAGGUGCAUGCACCCUUGAAGUGAAGCACCUAUAGGGACACUACUCAAAGAAGGUAAAUAUUGCUAAGUAGUUAUGCACUAUAUUAUCGAUAUUAUUCGGUUUAACAAUGAUUACUACACUGGAUAGUCAAAUGCUGUGUUUAUAUAUUUGGGUUUUCAAACCAGUUUUAGGUGUUUUUUGUAAAUGCAUGCAUAUAAAAAAGAUUUAGUAGAUUAAACAGUAUAAUGAAAAAGUACUCUGCAAGCUUGUUUAAAAAUAAAAAAUUCAAAUUGUCUGAUUUUUCUUUCUCUUAA